rnacentral:rRNA from 1 species
CCCUUAGAUGUUCGGGGCCGCACGCGCGCUACACUGAAGGAAUCAGCACGUCUUUCUCCUUGUCCGAAAGGACUGGGUAACCCGCUGAACCUCCUUCGUGCUAGGGAUUGGGGCUUGUAAUUCUUCCCCAUGAACGAGGAAUUCCCAGUAAGCGCGAGUCAUAAGCUCGCGUUGAUUACGUCCCUGCCCUUUGUACACACCGCCCGUCGCUACUACCGAUUGGAUGAUUUAGUGAGAUCCUCGGAUUGGUCCCGGAGCGGCCUCUGGUCGUGCCGGAGUGCCGAAAAGAAUGUCGAACUUGAUCAUCUAGAGGAAGUAAAAGUCGUAACA